GGUUAAAUUACACUCAGCGAUUUAAUUUUUCUUUUUAUAUUAUAUCGUUAUUUAUUUUUUAACCUAAAUAAAGAAUCAUUAUUUAUCUUUUAAACCAUUUCUUUUUUUAUUUUUUAAGUAAAAUUAAAAAAGAAAUGCAUAAAGAUAAAUGCUUGAUUUCUCCUUUAUAUUCCCGGUAUUUUCAACGCCAUUAGGCAGCUUCUUGUUAAGUAAUGUUGAAUUUGCCGUAACAAAACGGAGGAGAACA